rfam:Tupaia chinensis contig221126, whole genome shotgun sequence.
GUGCUUACUUUUAUAGCACAUUUACUAAAAUUAGAAUGAUACAGAGAUUUGCAUGACCCCUAAACAAGAAUGACAUACAAAUUCACGAAGCUUCCAUGUUUAAA